UGGAUGGGAAGAGAGGAGUGUAAUUAUCGGUAAGUUGAACAAUGACAGAGGAGGUGGGAGUCAAGAGGGGCCCCCUCUUCCCGGCAAUGGGGAUGUCAGAGGCUGAGAGGAGAUCCGCAUGUGCCCUCCUCACGUUGAUUUGGCUGUGAUGUUUGGCUGUGAUAAGCACUUUUCCAGGAAGGAGGGCAGAGAGAGAGGAAAGGCUCCGGGUUGUGUGGAGAGGAAUAGAGAGGAGGAAAACAGCAGAGCAGAUCACAAGGAAGAUCAACACACACCGACUGAAAUCUGUUACAGAGGAUAUUCUUUGUUGGUGAUUCUGGGGCUGAAACAGUGGAUGUUCCAUUCCAUGUGGAUGAAGCUCCCUCGUCUUGACCGAGACGUCUCCCGUCUGACAGCGAUGACGCAAGAGGGAGGGUGACAGGUCUCAAGCCUUUAACAAGUCUCUACAUUUAUGCUCCUGUUAGUGAAAGGACAGUGAAGAUAUGACAGGAGGUGAGUGGGAGAGAGAGAUGAGGAGCAGGAGAGAGAGAUGACCUCAGGCCGGACUCAAACCUGGGUCGUCGUGGGCACUGGACCCGUCUGUGGUGUGGGAUACUGAUGCUACCGCUGUGCCAAUGGCUCCCCCUAUGUCCGUGCACUUCAAUGAAACUCAGCUGUACUGAACUU